UUGUGCCGGAGCUGAAUGCGAAUGCGGCCGAGGCGGAUUAGCCGUGCUUCCCCACGAACGCAGAAGAGUGCCCGAGUCUGGGGCGUUUGUCCCCGGGGGCGGGCUGCCCAUGACGCAAGGUCGCAUUCUGUAGCUGGUAUUUCUGCGACAGUGAUGUGGGAAGCCCUUACUUCUACAUUUUAUUUGAUCCGAUGCACUAUAAAAAUAUGGAGUCAUAAGGCUUCUCAGUGUAAUCAACGGUGA
rnacentral:lncRNA from 1 species